rfam:Trichuris suis scaffold111.8, whole genome shotgun sequence.
GGCUCCAUAGCUCAGCUGGUUAGAGCGCCAGUCUCGUAAACUGGAUGUCGCGAGUUCGAUUCUCGCUGGAGCCU